AAGGCGAAAAACGAAAACAAAAAUACUAUCUAAGAAUGUGCAGUGAAUAAGGGUUUAUUCAUUCAGAUACGUGACCAAGCACACUUUCACCUGAUAAAUACCAAUUACUUAUAUAUCAAUCCUACCAAUGGUGAAUAUCUAUGCACAGGGUACACACAUACGUACCAUGAUAGAAGAGAAGCGAGGGUUUAUUGGGAGGAAGAUAUCUCUGAAAAACGACAUAGCUUGGGAGUCAUCAAUUGGAAUUUCUAAUUCCAAGAUGCCAAGAAUAGAAACCGACAUCACUUUGCUGUUAAGGUACUGUCCUGAAGGGCUCACUGGCUCAAGGCCAUCAUCCUCUUUUAUCAACUCCAUUGGACAGGACUUGCAAUAAUCCCAACCAAAGCGUAACAGGUUGAGAAUCUAUAUAGAAGUCUAUGGAAGAACCUAAUAUCACUGGCAUAUAUAUAUAUAUAUAUAUAUAUAUAUAUAUGUGUGUGUGUGUGUGUGUGUGCGCGCGCGCGCGCGCGCGCGUGCGUGUCCGUAGAUGAUUUUUAUGUUUCUGGCCAUCCAUGUGACUUCGUGUGCCGAGUUGUUGGUGGAUUAUUGGGAUUAGGUGGGAUAAUAAAGUGUAGGCAGUUGCAACAUGCAAGUGUCUCCACUUGGGACGUCAUCUACUGGAACAAGUCAUCAGAUAGAGAUUUUCUAACGAUCUAGUUUGAUCCACGUUGGCCAAACUAACGAUCUAUUUAGAAAUGAAUCAUUAAUUACGAAUUAGUUGCUGUGACAUCUCCUCGGAUGUUGAGACUAGGGGGUGUGACACUUUUUUCCAAGUGCUCGAGACUCUUCAAUUGUCUGAUUUACCAGGGUGCACAUGUUCGCCCGAGACAAAUGUGUUAAGAUUAAUGGGAGUAAUCGCCCGACUGACUUUUUGAAUUAUAGAAAAUGUUUUGUUAGCGAGUGGCCUUGUGGAAUUUAUCAAACAUGUAAAAGAGAUAUUCCAUUUUUAGAGUAUUGAUCAGCGACAUAGUUUGGGAGUCAUCGAUAGGAAUUUCGGAUUCCAAAAUGCCAAGAAAAGAAACCCACAACAUUUAUUGUUGAAGUAUAGACCCAAAGGGCUCACUGGCUCAAGGCCAUCAUACUCUUUUUGCAUCUCCAUUGGACAAGACUCGUAAUAUUUACUAUCUAAGAGUAGCAGGUUGAGGAUCUAUAAAGAAGUUUAUGAAAGAAUUGGAUAUCAUCGACCGAUACAUGUCCAUAGAUGGUUCUUUAUGUUUUCUGGCCAUCGUUGUGACUUUGUGUACUAUGACUCCCCGUACAUUAUAGGAAUUAGUUGGUCUAAUAAAGAGUUGGUAGUUAUAAGUAGUUGUAUGUUGAACAUAUUUUUUAUGGAUGUGAAACAUUUGUACUGAAAAAAAUCAGAAAGACGGAGUUUUUCAAACAAAUGCAAUUCAUUCCAUGUUGAUCGAAGCAAGUACUCAAAAGGAUGGCCAUUUACAGGUGAAUCAACAUUUCCGAGUCGAUUCACAAGGUUUGUCCUAUCUAUGUGAGACGAGGAUAGUGAUUAAUAUUCAAUUACUUGGUGGUUUGAGAAAAAUGAUUUUCUUCUUAACAUAAAAGAAAGUUGUUUCCCCUAAUUUAAACUUGUUAUUUUUAGUCUACGGGAAACAUUUUACAUACGUCGAUUAGUUUUCCAUUAUUUAAAUACCAGAAAGGUGAAAGACAAUUUCUUGAAGAUAGUUCUUCUUGAAACAAACAGACCCUAAAAAGAACUUGGUCACCGAGAUCUAGAAAAUUAUUACGAAAGUGUUAGUAAGGUCAUGUGUGUAUACAUGUCGGCUAAAGAAGAGGAAAUAGGUCAUGCAUACAGGAACGAUACAAUUUCCAAGAUCUUUAGCUAAUGUUGCAUUGUCGUCGUGGACGAAUAUCACUUGAAGAUCUUAGCAUCCGAGGUUCCAUUAGGUGCAUUCACUAUGAUAGAUGGAGCGUUGAUUGAUGGAACGUAUCAUUCGGGAUCUCUCUCCAUCAAAUGUCUCACUUACGUUUUCAUUCACUCCGUAUCGAUGUUGGACCAUGAAACGCUCCUUAUUUUGUAUUAAUGGUGGUGGAGAACGAGAGGAAACAACCGACAUGAUGGCUUAAUUGUGAAAGAGACGUAGUUUUAAAGCUGUAAAAUGUAGUUGAAAAAUCAUGUUGUGCAAAAUGUUCCCCUGUUUCUGGUCGUCCUUGUGACUUCGUGUACCAUGCCUCUCCGUGGAUUCUAGGGAUUUGGUAGAUAAUAAAAGGUGGGUAGUUACAAGCUAUGUAGCACCGACACGAACACGUGACACGCGAUACGACGUGACACGCCGAUACGUUAUUUCUAAAAAAAUAGAGAAUUCCGACAUGUUUCGACACGUCAUAUAUUAAAUAUAACUUUUUAUAUAAAUGUAAAAAUAAUAAUAAUAAUAAUAAUAAUAAUAAUAAUAAUAAUAAUAAUAAUAAUAAUAAUAAUAAUAAUAAUAAUAAUAAUAAUAAGAGCAUAGAAUUAAUUUAUACUAAAAAUAUUAAUCAAAUAUUUGUUAAUAUCAUUCAUUGUUUUAAUUUGACCGAGAAAUUCAAAAAUUGCAAACAUGAAAGAGUAAACUUGAAGAAACAUGUCCUAUUUUCUUAUACUUGUCGGAGAUUAAUGAGAUUUCUUAUAGUCUUAGACAGAGUUUGGAGUUCAUGAUAGAGACUAGUUUGGAGCUCCUUUGCAAAACAAGAUUCAAGAAAAAUGAAACUUUAAGACAAUAACUCUCGAAGUAUGACAAAAAGAAAAGGAAAUCACUAAAUUCGCCACAGAAAAUAUGAGAGAUGACUCACAUGCCAAUAACAUAGACCAAAAGAGAUAACUUGCAAGCGAUGCUUGCGAGAGGCAAAAAGAAACAAAAAAACAAUUAUAACUUUAAGUAUGUGGGGGCAACGGAACGACACUAACGAGAAAAGGGGCGUUCCAUCGUCACUCUCGGGAAGAUCAGAACUUAUAAGUGAGAAACUUGAGAGAAAAAAUUUUCUUCUUUCCCCUUAUUUUUGUUAUUUUCAUUGUUUUUUCAUAUAUUUACAUUCUAACUCCUCAAGUAUCAAUUUUUUUUUUAAAUUGACCUUAUGCGUGUCAGAAUCGCGUGUCGGAAUUUCGGACUCGCGUGUCGGGAAGAAUUGACCACGUGUCGGAUUUUCCGACACUCAAGAACGGCAUGUCGGAACAUGUCGGAACGUGUCGGAGUGUUGGACACGACACGACACCUUCUGGAGAGUGUCGGUGCUUCUUAGGUUACAAGUAGCUAUACAUAGGACACCAUCUGCUGAAAAAAUCAUAAGACUAAAUUUUUCUAAUGAUCCAGUUGGAUCCCCGUCGAGUACUAAAAAGGUUGGUCAUUUAGGGGUGUUCACGAAUGAGUUUGUAAGGCAUCUUUUAUAUAACGUGAGACUUGAGGAUAUUAAUUUUUUUUUCCAGUAAUCGGGUGCUUGAGGCUUUUCAAGCACGUGACCGCUACCCCACGUGCCAAACAUACAACCGUUCGCGCUCAAAACAAGUAUCUGUUAAGUUUGGUGGAAGAAGUUGCCCAAUUAACUUUCGGAAUCAUGUAAAGGGUUUUGUUAGCAAGUGCUCUUAAUGUAUUUAUUAAACAUGCACGAUAAAUAUUCAAUUUUCAAAAUAUUGAUCGUGCAUAUUAUGAGAAUGAUCAACACAUUAUAGGUCACGCAAUAUUUUUCAUUUAGUUGAUAAAAAAGUGCUAUGGAAGCACUCUUCAACAAAAUCUUUACGCUAAUAUGCUUGUAAGUUUCAAAGAUUGCCUUCAACUAUGCUCUCAAAAAUACCAUUGGACCGUGAUUAUAUGAUCCUGAAGGUGUGAACACAUGUUCGCAGAACGUACUCUUACCAUACUUACAAAAAUGAUUUUUUUCAGUCAAAAAGCAGUACGUCAAUUAUAGAGAUUCGAUUUAGUAUUUACAAUUGCUUUCUGAGCUUGCCCUCGAGAGAGCUUUCCAGAUCUAUUCCUGUUGGGUCUCCCGACAGAUGGCUCUAAAGAGAAUGCUAAAAUGUUAUGAUAAAGAUGAUAACUUGUAUCAAGUUUUCACCAUUGUCAUGUGUAGUUUAAAAAAAAAAAAAAUUGGGGUAGUAAACAAAAAUUACUUUGCUCACUGAAAAACUGAGUAUAUACCGAGUUGUUACUAGUAACUUUUCCUUUGUGAUCAUCCCUCUCCAUGAUAGGACUUAAUAUUCAAUCCAACUGAUAUUAAUGAUGUGACAUCCUGAAUUUUCAGAAUUCGUUUUCGAUUAAAUAAAUCGGGCAUUUCAUCGACGCGCCAAUAGUGCUAUUCUCUGAGCUGAUCACUCAUGAGAUAACUGGAUUAUCUGGGGAAGCAAUUAGGGAAUCUAAAUGCAAUUGGACUUGAGAAUUCGACCAAGAAUCGACUGUUCAACCGUGUUGAUCUGCAAGUGUCAUUACGGCACCGUCAGAGAUCGAUCAGAAAUCAGAGAUGGGUCGAUUCGACUGAGAUAUGUGAUCAAAUUGUGGGUGAUUCCACUUGAUUGAGAAAUUCUCAUCGAUCGGCACUAAAUUGAUUUUCUGUCGUUUUGGUACCCGGUGCCCGUAAUUGAAACCUCGAGAUUUUCACGACAACUGAGAGUCGCUAAUGUGUUGAAGAUGUACUUUGUGACUCGAGAUAAAUCGAUUACGGGUCAAUUGCACCAAAAAUUCCUAAAAGUUACCCGGUUAGACUAGGUCACACUAAAAGCGCACCGGAUUGAAAAUAACCGCGAAUUUGAACCUGAUUUCAGAAAUUGAAAGUUCUGAGGUGUCACGAUCUAUUUUAGGAAUGUCGACUCACCCUUCGAGAAAUUUUCAGAGAUUCCAGGAUUUUUGCGGAAAAUCGAUACGGACGUUGCGGAAAAUCAGCGGAAAUUCAGAUAGGCUAAAUUGAUGGAAAUUGGGACAUCUAAACUGAGCCUGUGAGUGUCGGGGAUUUAUAGAAAAUUGUUCGGGAUUUUUCUUCAGCAAAACCGGACCUCGAUUUGGACAACCGGAGAGGAAAUUAAGCAUGAAGCUGAAAAUUAGGACUUUAAAUUGGAUUAAUUAGUGAUUUAUGCAUUACAAGAAAGUAUUAAGGGGAACAUGCUUUUAAUGGAGGGGAUAAGGAUGCUUGAUUGGGACCCUCCACCGGCGGCUUCUCCCGCACGCCAAGACCACCGCCUCCUCCUCCCUUUGUGCGACAACCUGGUCUUCCGCUUCACUUUCAUUUUCAUUUUUGAGCUUCUUCAUUUCGAUCUCCCUCUCUGCAACGAAAAUCACCCCACCGAAAUUGCUUUUGAUCGCAUAUCCUUCAGCCCAUGCCAUCAUCAUCAUCUUUCAUCAUCUUUCAUCAUCUAUAUCACCAUCCACCGAGUUCUCUCUCUCUCCAUGCAUUUCUCUCAAGCCCAUGCGUCCACUGAAGUCACCAAUUCCCCUGUUGCAGCACCACACGUCCAACACCUGAUCUCCAUGAGUCAAAGUUCCUCAGCCAAGUUGUUUUGUUGACUCCUGGCCGCGCGUCUCCCGCAGCUCGGACGAAGCUGCUUCUCCGUUCAUCCGCAACGCCAGCAAGCUGUUCGGUCAACUUCAACAAUCCACGAAGCCUUGCUGACCGAAGCCACACCCCACCGAAACUCCUUGAAGCUGCCACGUCCACGUUUUUCUUCAGCUUGGUCAGCCACCGACCGAAUCAAUCGAGCCAGCAGCUCAGCGGAUUCAGUCCACGUUUCCAGCGAAGCUGUUGCCCUCACGUCCGCGGAUCGAGCAGCGAAGACCGAAGCUGCCCCGCGUUUCCAUCUCGCGCUGCCUGCUCGCGUUUCCCUUGCCCACCUUCGCAUGGCUUCAUUUCACCGAGUCAGGCCCAGCAUCACCGAAGCUCAGCCCACAUCAACGGCCCAGCAAGAUGCCAUCUUUCUGCAGCCCAUCUUCACGCAACGCCAACCCAUUUGAAGUCCAUCAGCAGCCCAAGAGAACAGUCCAAUUAAUUGGGUCUUCAGCCCAAUUCAGCAAGGCCCAAUUCCAGCAAGUCAAUUGAAGCCCAAGCUUAGGCCCAAGUUCAGUUAGUUCUAGCCCAUUUGAAGUUCAGCCAUUUUGGGCCCGCGAAGAAAGCCCAAGACCGAAACUCAGCCUUGCUGAGUUGUGUUGGGCUAAGUUUAGGCCCGGCCCAAGUUUGUUGACGCCGCCGAAAAUUUCGAUUUCGGCCGCCGUCGCGUCGUCGUCGCAGUGAACUGGUUUUUGCGAUACACCGGUGAGUUUAUACUCUAAACUCUGCUUAGUAGGCUAAUGACGUUUAAGGGGUGUUUAGAUUUACUUUAUUAGGAAUUAGGCAGUUAGUUAGAUUAAAUUAUAAAUGUAAUUAUUUAAUUGAGCAUGUUAGGUGGUUAGCAUGGUUUAGCUAAGGCCUAAAUAAAUUAUACUAUUUAUCUAGAAGGGUUCGGGAAUUUUCCGGGUUCGUAUUGGUAUUUAAUUUAAUAAUUUUUGCCAAGGUUAGUAUUUUUAGAAAUUAAAUUGAAUUAAUUAAUUAUUAAUUAUUUUUCCGGAAUUUAGGCCGGGAUAGCCGGUGACCGGAAUUUCGUGCUGAUUGCAAUGGUGUGGUUAAUUUCUGCAAUUGAGUGUUAAAUUAUGCAAAUUGAGUGCUGAUUGGAUUUUUGUUAUUUAAUUCCAAAAAUUGUGAAUUUCCAAUAUUUAUUCAGAAAAUCCCGGGUGUCGGGUUUUAACACCGAAAAUGGAUUUUAAGUACUAUAUCAAAUAGUGGGGUUUGAAAGAGAUAGGUAUCAUUCUUCUGGUUCGAAUUGACCGUGUACCCACACACGACUAUUUUCAGGAUAUUUUUAAUAUGAAGGAAAUAUGCCAGGAUCACUAUUUUAAUGGAGGCAUUUGAGUGCAAUGCACAGUGUCCUGGGCCGAGAUUGAGUGGUCGUGUGUUGGUUAAGAGAACCAGUCUCGAGCAAUUAUGCCGGACGUUACUAAAUCCCUUUUCGGGUUACCCAUGCAUUAGGGUAGCGGGUCGCAGUAGAUUCUAGACCUACGCCCCUUCGGGGAAGUCGUCUAAUUGAGAGACGUUGCCGUGCUCACGGGGGAGACGACGCCUGGCAAUGCCAGAAGACCGCCAAUAGAGUUGGCCGUACCCUUGAGGGGUGUAAUUAACAAUUGGAACGCAUGAUGGUUGAGUUUGAUGCACCCGAUUAUGAGACCAAAACUGUGUGACAUGGAAUGGGACGUGUCAUAACAGUUUUGACCUUAUAAUCAGGACCUCGAUGAUUAAUUGAAUUGAUGAGGUGUUCCAGUUGUUAUAUGCGUUGAUUAUAUGCAUUGCGAUAUGAAUUGUACUGACGUGCAGGAAAGGAAACUGAGGCGAGGUGAGUCCUCUAUGCCAAUUGAGUGGUUGUGUGGUUAGGACGCUUCUGGGCGUAUUUCCCUCCUAAUUGGGGUUUAGAGCUUAGACUUGCUGAGAUUUUAUCUCACCCCGUUGUGGGACAACAUUUUCAGGUUCGUCGAGUGGAGGACCUGGAGAUGAGAGAAGGUGAUCAGAAGCGUAUGUCAGUUAGGACCGCUUCUUUUGGAAGGCUAGUCUUUUGUAGUCUUUUGGUCAUAGACCUUGUGCUUGACAUUAUGUGAUUAUAAAAGCAUGUUUGUUCUGAGAAUUUGUAUCCUACAUUUCUAUCCCGAGAUGAUUACUAUCAGGGGAUUUCUUUUCGCUUCCACAUGUGCAAUAAAAAUCAAUGGGUCGGCGACUCGUCCUGGGAAGUUGCAAAAUUUUUAUCAACCAGAGAGGGAUGGGCAUGCGCUCGGGGUUCGGGGCGUGACAAAUGACUCCAUAUUAUUAUCUUUUUACAUUGAAAGUGGAGUUUCAAUGUCUUGUUUUGUAAUAGAUAACUAAUUCAACAUCAGCAACUUUUCAAAUUGAAAACGUAAGGAUUCAUUUAUUAGUUUAGUAACUUUUUUUUUAUCAAACGGCAAGUUUUAAUUAAUUAUGCUCAAUCUAUUUCACAAAAAAAUAUACAUAUUUAUAAAAUAUUUUUGAAAAUUUGUUUUUCAUUUUUCUAAUCAGACUUUUAUGCUGAAACCUACUCUAUGGGCCUGCUUGUAAAUGAAGAAGUAAGAGAACCACCCCAUGAAAGGCAAAAAUCUUGGAGGAUCACACUAAGGUUGUGUUUGGCAGUCAGGAUAAAAUUCGGAAAAAUGACACAAAUAAUUUCUAAUGGUUAGAUCUACAACUUUGUAUUUGAACUUUUAAUUUGUUCGAUAAGGAAUUUGAAUUUCAACCUAAUGUGUAAUAUCGUUCUUGAACUUCUAAUUUAUUCAAAUUGAAUUUUUUUAUACAUGUUCAAUUUAGUGUAUGAACUUAAAUUAAUGGAAUGAUAAAAUUGACAUUUUCAUAUAGUUAAGGGACCAGAUUGAAUAUAUGCCAAAGGUUAAGGGAUUAUAUGUAACAAAAGUUUAAAGACAAUAUUGCAUAUUGGACAAGAUUAUAUUCAACAAAUUAAAAAUUUAGGGACAAGAUUAUACAAUUGGCCAAAAUUCUAUCCCAUGCUAUAAUAAUAACUAAAAGAUUUUUUUUUCUUUCAACACAUGAUGAAAAAGAAAAAAGUACAAUCGCCCGCAACGGCGCAGCUGGCUUGAGCUCUCUCCCCCUCACGAAGGGGAGGAGUUCAAAUCCCAGAGGCCUAAUCGUUAGGGAUUCUUAUCUGGAGUAUUGUGGUGGUGGGUCCUACAGUCGCUCCCCCAAGGUUUGCUCACCGGCUAUCAGCUUACGGAGUUCCUUGGGUUACCAAAAAAAAAGUAGAGCUUGAAACCUUAUCCUUUUUAUCUCUCUCUUUCCUUUUCUUGCAGGUAUGGAUUCAGUAAGGAAAAUCAUGGCUUGUGUAAGUUGCAAGGUUAGGUUUAUAAGUUUGCCCCCUCAUGCCAUUUCCCUCUCAGUCCUAGAAAUGUUUACUCUAUCAGAAAUGGUAAAUUUGUCCAACUCAAGAUGAAUGAAGACAUUUUAAAACUUCUAUCUCUCUCUACCUCACACAGCACACACAUAAAGGAUACGGCUGGUGAUUGUCCUUUAUGCGACAUAAAUGGAGAGGAAAAAGUGUAAGAGAUGUAGAGUUGUUUCUUGCAAUUCAUAAUGAAGGAAGACCCAAUAGGCAGAUAGAGAUGGAUGAGAAAGAAAGAAAGGCACAACGGUCCCAUCUCCGUAUCCCAAUUCCUUUGAGGAGAAACUAAGGGCGUGUUUGAUAACAUUUCUGUCCAAAAAUUGUUCUUCAGAAUAUAAAUAGUUUUGGUAACUGCACAAAAUUUCUUUUCCUGGAAUAGAAAAUGAAUAGAAACAUGUUUGGUAAACUUGUAUAAUUUUUUUGUUUCUUUUAAUUUUUUAAUUUUUUUCUUUUUUAAUUUUUUUUCUUCCUUUUGGCCAGUUGCCGACCUUGGCCAUGGCCAAUGACUGGCCGAGAAGGGCCAGCGGCCUCGCCGAAUCUGGAUGAGCUCGAGCUCGCCUAGCCAAGGUGAGGCCAAGCCUUGCCAGCCGGCAAAAGGUUGGCUUCGCUAGAUCUGGGCGAGGCGAGCCUCACCUUGGCCUAGUGGGGCCUGGCCUCGCGUUAGCUAGGGAGGCCAAGCCUCACCUCGGCUGGGGAGGCCGAGCCUAGCCAUGGCCGCACAAGGGUCGACCUCGCCCAACCUAGGCGAGACUGAGCCUCGCGCGGCCACGGCGAGGCUUGGGUCGACGAGUCUCAUCGUGGCUCGUUCUCUCUGGGGGUCGGUGAGGUUGCCAGCCCUCAUCUGGUUGGUCGCCGUCGGCCAUGGCCAAGGCCGAUGACCGGCGAAAGGAAGAAGAAUAAGAAGAAGAAAAGAAAGAGAAAAAUGAGAAGAAAAAAAAAAGUAUUUCUCAGAAGUGUUCCCGGGAACAAGUUUUCUUGUUCUUGUUUCUAUUCAAAAUUUGUUACUGGGAACAAAAAAAUAGAUAUUUUGUUCUCGGGAACAAAAGUGUAAGGGCUUGUUUGUUAAAAUGUGUUUAUGUUCCCAAGAACACAAAUUUUUGUUUUUUUGUUCCUAGGAACAAAAAAUGAACAGAAACUCAUUUGUUUGCGUUUUUGUUCCAAAAUUAUUUUUUUGUUUUCAGAAACACAUCUGGAACGGAAACAAGAAACAAAAAAAAGUUGUUUCUUGUUUCCGAAACAAAAUUUGUGAUUGUUGUUUGCAUCGCCAAAAAAUAAAUAAAAAAACUGAGUAGUUACCGAGAGGGUCAAUAAACAUACAUGUUUCUUGUGUUUUUUGCCCGUAUGUCGUUCGAUGCUUUCAGAGAGGUAUUCAGCGAAGGAAAAGCAUAAGAGAGGUAAGAGAGUCGUGAGGGCUUGUGGAUUCUGGGAAAGAAGGACCGAAGGAGAAAGAAGAAAAAUAGGCAAAUAAAAAAAAGAAAAUAAAAGAUAAAAAAUAAUAUUUAACGACGGAAAGAAGUGAUAACAGAAAAAUAAAAAUGAAGAUAGAAAAAUGCAAGCCUAGUUAGGUCUGCGGAUUAGAUUUAGUUAAGUUUCAUUCAAUUGGUGUUCAUAUAGUUCAGGAAAUUGCAUUUCAUGAUUAUUAAGGCAAUUUGGAUUUUAGAUAGUUUUUCUCUUGAUGAAAUAGGUAGCAAGAUAAAGGAAAUUCGAUAAAAGUAUUAAAAAAAUGAUAAAAGUAAGAAAGAUUAAAAAUAUCUUAGUGGAGUUUAUAUCAGGUUUAUUUCUACAGGUUAAUUCGUUUAUCUCCGUCUCUAAUAUAGGUACGAAAGAUGAAAAAUAUCAUUAUUGUUAUUAAAUUUGAGUGCACUCUUGCAUAUCUCGGUACGAAGAAAAGUGUAUAUUGUUCUUUAGGUUGGAUUGACGAAAAACUUUAGUGGAAAAAUUGCCAUGGAAAAUAAAAAGGGAAAUUAUAGCAGUAUGGUCAAGAAAUUAAUAAGAAAAAGCAUGGCAAGCAGCUUAAUUUUUUUUCCCUAGUUUCGCGAUUGAAUUUUGGGGCCUUGUCAACGAAUAAUCAUCCUCAUAUAUUGUGAUUUUCUUUAAUCGAUAGCGAAAUCGAUGAUCUUAUAAUUGUUAAUUUUCCUUUAACGUGAAUGAGUUCCCAUCUUCUCUAACAAUCAUUUGUCCAUCGAAAUUAAUUCUCUCUUAAUUUAACAGAUUGAACGGGACUGCUGCCAUGCUUUUCUAUAUUGGACCAUAGAAAUUCCUUGAAUGCGUAUAUCGAACUUUACUCGUAUACUUGCCAUAUUAUCAAAUGUAUAUUGAAAGUCACAAGCUAAAGCCCGAAGUUUCGUCUUCCUAUGUUUGUCUGGCCAGGCAAGAACUCGAGAAUCUAGUGAAGAAUUGACAGAGAUGGAAAAGCAAAGAAUUUGGAUAGAGUCAAACCAUUCUUCCCCUCGCCCUUCUCAAAUGGUACAAUUUCAGGAUAAAGCAACCUGCGAAAAGCAAGAGAAUGAAGCAACUGCACCUUGGAAACGAAGAACAAAAGCUGCCAUGAUAAAUAACCGUCAUUGAUUACCUCAACAACCAUCAUUUAAUCAAACCCUUGAGACUUCAGAUCAAGUUAAAUCUUCAACGUUGAGAAUGGCUUCGUUCGAGAUGUACAGAGAAGCCGAUCCCGGUAUGUCCCCUCAAAUAUAACCCCCUAUAGUUCAUGUGUUGCGGGAGUUUCUCUCUUAAUUUGUGGUAAGAAGAACGUCUGUGUGCAUAGAAAUUUUCAAAUGCUACAUGAAUAACUUCUCGGCUAUAAUUAUAAUUUGCAAUUGGGCUUGAGGUAAUUAUUAGAACUCGUUGGUUGAUUGGUUUCUUCUGGUUUUGGUCGAUGCAGUAAUGUCGAAGGAGAUUAGGGAUGUUGUACCAGCGCAUUAUGUGCUCAAGAUUAAGUCCUUCUCUUUGUUUGCGAAGAACAACAUGGGGAAGUAUGAAUCGGGCGAGUUCGAAGCAGGAGGCUAUAAAUGGUUCACUUCUCUUCUCUCUAGUCUCCUCCUCACACUCUCACAUUCAGAUUCGACAUGGCUGGCCAAAAACCCCAGUCAAUUAAUCUUUGAAGAGACUGUUCCGUAUUCGGGCUAUGCUCCAAAUUUAGGCCCUUCUUCCAGAAGAUGGUUUAAAUACUUGAGAGGCAUAUAAUUUCUGUUACUGGUUAAGAAUCUGACAUUUGAACCCUCUGCAGUUUAUGAAAAUUCAUACAGAAUAAAGUAAUCCUUUUUAGGAUGAAGAGAUUGUUUUGAAUAUAAAAGUUGAUUCAGCAAUCAGAAGCUGUAGCACUUCACAAAUUCUAAGAAGAAUUAGCGUCAAUUCAUAACAGGGAACUUUACAUGUACAUCCGUGCUCGAAUUCACAGAAGCAUCUUGAUUAUGCAGGAAACUGAUCCUCUAUCCCAAUGGAGACAAGAGCCGAAACGGAGAAGGUCACAUCUCCAUAUAUCUGGCGAUUUCAGGGACGAAUCCUCUCCAACUUGGUGGGCCGAUUCACGUGGCCGUCAGGUUCUCUUUGUACGAUCAAAUUUGCGAUAGAUAUUUGACUGAACAAGGUAAAAGCUCGGUAACGAUAGCAAAAAGCAAGAUAUUUCCCGCCUUUCUGAACACUAAUAUCGGACCUUGUCUUGUGAAUUUGAAGGAAGUGUCACGAGGUUUCACGCAUUGAAAGCCGAAUGGGGAGUUCCGAGAUACAUGCCGUUGAAAACUUUCGCCGACUUGUCGAGUGGGUACCUUGUGGACGACACCUGCAUCUUCGGUGUGGAGGUUUUCGUCAUCAAGAGUUCGGGAGUCGGCGAAUGUUUGACGCUGAAGGCGAGUGCAUCGUAUACUCACCAAUGGAAGAUAUCGAGGCUCCCAAGCUUGGGGGAGGAUUAUCUAUACUCUGAUGUAUUCACUGUUGGAGAUCAUAAAUGGUAGCCCCUAUUUACAGGCUUCCUUUUCAGUGAUAAACUGUUGUUUUUGUUGAUCUAUUAUUUGUCCAAUCUAUUUAUCGCUAUUUUCAAAUGUUCUCGCAGGAAGGUGUGGCUAUGCCCGAGGGGUGACUACUCUAACAGGGGCCAAAGCCUUUCCAUUUCUCUCGGUUUAGUGGAGGCGGACAAAUUGGCUUCUGGUCAGAAAGUGAACGCGAGAUAUGUCAUUCGGUUAAAAGGCCCAAACAACUUUGUACAUCAGCCGGAAGGUAAGUGUUUGGUUGUCCUCACAAGUUGAUGAAUGCCCCACUUCAAGGCCAUUGUAUGAUUUGUUCAUGUAGUCCGUAUGGUUAGAAACUGUCGGAAUCCCUCAUUUUUCGCAACUGUAAUUUUCUGCUCUCUUGCUUUGUCAUUGAUACUUUGCAGCUCAGACUACAUCGUUCAGUAGCUCCACUGUGUGGUGGGGUUGGCCGUCUUUCAUGCCGCUGAAAACGGUUCAGGAAUGCCUGACGGAUGAUCCAUGUUUCAUUGAGGCUGAAGUCGAUUAGCAAAUUGCCAUGAUGGCAAAUUUAUGCACCGGAUGUAUUCAUAAACUGGCAGUUCUUUCCUCAUAACAAUAAUACAUGGAUUGGAUGCGUUUAUUAACACUUGAAUUUUAGUCUGACAAAUCGAGCCUACCUUUCUUUCAAGUGUUCUUGAAAAUACGCGAAUGAAAAUGCAUACACAACUAAGAAGCACCUUCCUGAGCCCGAACCUACUUAAAUCAUGAUGUACAUGUUGAUUUCAUCCAUUUCUAUCUCCAGUCUCUGCGGUUUAGACUAUGGCUGGAGCCUCCAAAUGCUAUGACAGCCACAUUUUCAUAUGAUCUCAUGCGAAUAUGUAGUCUUUAAUCCUGAUUCACUUUGUUGCCUUCUUUGCCGCGUAUAGAUCGAUGUAUAAAGCAGGAAUCUAUGUCAUAGAGUAAUUUCGUGUAACCAAAUGAGUUUUUGGGUAUUUUUGCUAGAUUAAAAUUUGUGAUUGUUGUUUGCACCUAAAAAAAAAAUAAUAAAUAAAAACCGAGAAGAGUAGUUACCAAGAGGGUCACUCAACAUACAGGUUUCUUGUGAGGUGAUCGGGGAUGGUCUCCGGCAAGAAAAAUUGGAGAACUGUAGUUCUCCGUUCGCUGGAAAAAUCCAUGGAAAGCAGAGUGCACGUGCUGUCUGCAUGUCGAUGGGUUGAAGACAAUGAAAGGGAAGGCUGGCCUGUGAAUUGUCCAAUUAAAAUGGUGCAGUUUUGACUAGAUUGUGCUUGGAUGUUGUUCAACGCCUUCAUGGAGGCAUUCAGUGAAGGCAAAGCAUAACAGAAGUUUGAAAGUUGAGAAGGCUUGUGGAUUCUGGGAAAGGAGACCGACGAAGAAAGAAGAAAAAUAGAUAAAUAAAGUAAAUAUGAAAAUAAAAUUAAAAAUAAUAUUCAACUACGGAAAAAAGUAAUAACAGAGAAAUAUUAUUGAAAGAUAGGAGAAAUGCGAGCCUAGUCAGUUCUUAGGAUUAGAUUUAGUUGAGUUUCAUUCAGUUGGUGUUCAUAUGGUUUAGGAAAUUGCAUUUCAUGAUUAUUAAGGCAAUUUGGAUUUUAAAUAGUGUUUCUCUUGCUGAAAUAGAUGGUAGGAUAAAUAAACUUUGAUAAAAGUAUUAAAAAAUGAUAAAAGUAAGAAAGAUAAUAUAUAUAUAUAUAUAUGGCAUUUAUAUUAGGUUUAUUUCUAGGGGUUAGUUCAUUUAUCUCCGUCUCUAAUAUAGGUACGAAAUAUGAAAAAUAUUAUUAUUGUUAUUGAAUUUGAGUUCGCUCUUGUUGAUCACGGUACGUAGAAAAGGGUUGAUUGCCCAUUAGGUUGGACUUACGAAAAACUUUAGUGGAAAAAAUUGCCAUAGAAAAUAAGAAGGGAAAUUACAGGAGUAUGAUCAUAGAAUUUGAUGGUAAAAAGCAUAGCAAGCAACUUAAAAUUUUUUCCCCUAGUCUCGCGAUUAAAUUUUGGGGUACUGUCAAUGAAUAAUCAUCCUCAUAUAUCAUAAUUUUCUUUAAUCGAUAGUGAAAUCAACGAUCUUAUAAUUGAUAAUUUUCCUUUAAUGUGAAUGAGUUCCCAUUUUUUUUUUCCUAAAAAUCACUAGUCUGUGGAAAUUAAUUCUCUCUUAAUUUAUCUGCUAAGAUUGAAUGGGACCACUGCCUUGCGUGUCUAUAGUGGACCAUAGAAUUUCCCUGAAUGCAUACAUCAAACUUUACUCGUAUAUAUUUGCCAUUCAAUCAAAAUAUAUUGAAAGACAAAAGUUAAAACCUUGCAUUUGAUGGUCAGGAUAAAAUUCAGAAUAUGAUAAAAUUUAUCUUAUCCUGCGGUUGGCGUUUACUUAAUAUAGGAUAAAGUAAGAUAUAAAUGAAAUAUAGACCGAAUAAAAUUAUCCCAUGAGGAAAGUGGGAUAAAGGCGAAUAUGAUUUAUAAUAUCCAUAAUAGUAGAGUUUUUUCUUAGAUAACAAAUUUAUUAAAUUAACAAAUUAAAAUCAUAUUUCAAUAUAAAUAAUAUUCGAAUUCUAAUAUAAGAAAUUCAAAAUAACAAAGAAAUAAAAAAUUAGUUUCUAAUUUAAUCUUAUUUUUAUUUAUAUAUUCGAAUUCAAUUCUAUCUUAUAAUUUAAAUUCAAUAUGUAAAUAUAUAUUUAUUACAUAUUUGAGGUGUUCUAGUAUUUUAGGUAUAUUAGUAUAAUUUUCUAAUUAAUAAAAUUUUAUUAGAGAAUAAUGGAAGGGGAAUAAAUAAAUAAAUAAGAGGAAAAAAAGUACACAAGAGGGUCGCGGGAGAAUUUUAUCAUCUCCGUUUAAAAAAUUUAUGAUUCAUAUAGACAUUUAUACCAAACAAUACAUAUAAUAUGAUAUGAAUAUAUCUGACUUUAUUAUUUCAAUCAUAAAACAAUAGAUAUGGUAUAAAAAAAUAUCCUAGAUUUCAUAUCUUAUACUAUCAAAUUCUCUCUUAAUUGGAAAUCCUUCUAUGUUUGUCUGGCCAGGAAAGAAUAUGAGAAUCCAGAGAAGAAUUGAGAAAGAUGGAAAAGCAAAGAAUUUGGAUAGAAUCGAACCGUUCUUCCCCUUGCCCUACUGAGCUUCCAAAUGGUACAAUUUCAGAAUAAAGCAACUUGCAAAAAGCAAGAGAAUGAAGCAACUGCACCUUAGAAACCAAGAACAAAAGCUGUCAUUAUAAAUAAUCUUCAUUGAUUGACUCUACAACCAUCAUUCAAUCAACCCUCAAGGCCAUGGGUCAAGGUUGCGAACAUCCAAUGUUAAGAAUGACUUCUUUCGAGACAUGCAAUGAAGCCAACCCUGGUACGUCCCCUCAAAUCUAACCCCAUAUAGUUCAUGUGUUGCAUGAGUUUUUCUCUUAUCUUUGGUAAAAAGAACGUUCGUGUACAUAUAAAUUUUCAAUUGCUACAUGAAUAACUUAAAGUCUUGGAUAUAAUUUGCACUCGGGCUUGAAGUAACUAUUAGAACUCGUGGGUUGAUUGGUUCUUUUUCUGGUUUUGGUCAAUGCAGUAGUGACGAAGGAGACUAGAGAUGUUGAACCGGCACAUUUUGUGCUCAAGUUAAGUCUUUCUCUUUGUUCGCAGAGAACAAAAUAGAGAAGCAUGAAUCAGGCGAGUUCGAAGCGGGAGGCUAUAAAUGGUUCAUUUCUCUUCUCUCUAGUCUUGUCCUCACACUCACAUUCAGAUUCGACAUAGCUGGCCAACCAGUCAAUUAAUCUUUGAAGAGACUGUUCCUUAGACAGGCUAUGCUCCAAAUUUAGGCCUUUCUUCCAGAAGAUGGUUUAUGUACUUUACAGGCAUACAAAUUCUGUUAUUGCUUAAGAAUCCGACGUUUGAAGUUUGAACCCUUUGUGGUUUUGAAAAUUCAUACAGAAUAAAGUAAUCUUUUUUAGGAUGAAGAGAUUGUUUUGAAAAUUAGUGUUGAUUCAGCAAUCAGAAGCUAUAACACUUCACAAAUUCUAAGAAUAAUUAGCGUCAAUUCAUAGCUGGGAACUUUACAUGUACGUUCGGUGCUCGAAUUCACGGAAGCAUCUUGAUUAUGCAGGAAAUUGAUCCUCUAUCCCAAUGGAGACAAAAGCCAAGACGUUGGAGAUCACAUCUCCAUAUAUCUGGCAUUUUCAGGGUCGAGUCCCCUCCAACUUGGUGACCCGAUUCACGUGGCCGUCAGGUUCUCUUUGUAUGAUCAAAUCCGCGAUAAAUUUUUUACUGAACAAGGUAAAAGCUUAGUAACGACAGCAAAGAACAUGAUAUUUAUCACCUUUCUAAAUGCUUCUAUUGAAUCGACAAAUCUUUGCUUGUGAAUUUGAAGAAAGAGUCACGAGGUUCCAUGCGUUCAAAGCCGAAUGGGGAGUUCCGAGAUACAUGCCGUUGCAAACUUUUCGCGACCGGUCUAAAGGGUUCCUUGUAGACGACACUUGUGUCUUUGGUGCGGAGGUUUUCGUUAUCAAGGGUUCGGCAGUUGGCGAAUGUUUGACGCUAAAAAAGAGCACAUGGUAUACUCAUGAAUGGAACAUAUGUAGGUUGUCGAGCUUGGAGGAUACAUGUUUAUACUCUGAUGCAUUCACUGUUGGAGACUAUAAAUGGUUGCUCCUAUUUACAAACUUCCUUUCAGUGAUAACAUUUGUUUUUGUUGAUUUACUAUUUGUCCUAUCUAUUAUAUCUAUUUUUCAAUCUCUUCGCAGGAAGGUGUUGCUAUACCCAAGGGGUGAUCCGGCUUGCAGGGGUAAAAACCUUUCGGCGUUUCUCUCUUUAGUUGAUUCGGACAAAUUGGCUUCUGGUCAGAAAGUGAACGCGAAAUACACCAUUCGUUUAAAACGCCAAUGCAAACAGGUGCAGUCAAAAGGUAACUGGUUGUCCUCUUAAGUGGAUGAGCGCCACACUUCAAGGCCAGUGUAAUUAGUAGCACGAACUGAAAGUCCAGAGUAAUUCCAAAGUUGAUUACACGAUGACCUACUUUCUCAUCACUGUACAUGACGAUUUAAAUUUGCACCUGUUAGUAAGGACCAGAUUCGAUUUCUUCAUGUAGUCCGUAUAGUUAGAAACUGCUAAAAUCCCUCAUUUUUCCCGCCUUCAAUUUUCUUCUCUCCUGUCUUUGCUGCUUUGCAGAUGCUACCAGUUGGUUCAGUAGCUCCGCAUUCGAAUGGGGUUGGCGGUCUUUCAUGCCAUUGAAAACAGUCUGCGAAUGCCAAACAAAUGAUUCAUGGCUCAUCGAGGCUGAAGUCACGGUGCUUGGCACAACUAGCAAAUUGCCAUGACAGCAAUAUAUGUAACUAGAUGUGUUUAUAAACAAUAAUACAUGGAUUGGAUGUGAUCAUGCAAUAAGUUCUCUACAGGCAUCUCUGCUUCUGGUCAGAAUUUUGUAGAGCUGAAAGUACAAGGUGUUAACAACUCGAUCCAUUUAAAUCGUGAGAUGUCAUCAGCUUAUCAAAGAAUACAAGGAUUGAUGGGGGUAAAUGUUCUUUGUAUACCAAGUAGAAUCAAGCCCGACCAAAACAAGCCGUCUAAGACGAGUCAAAGGGACUCGUUAUUCAGUGAAACAACAAGAAUCCAAGAGAUAAAACGAGUUACUUUUGAAAAAAAUUGCAGAUGACAGAUUGCUGUGCAAGGAAUUUUUUUGAACCCAACAAGGCAAAAAUUUUCACACGCAUCCUUCAGAAUUGUAAGGGCAUAAUUCCAAAUCCUUGCAUGUAUUCCAACUCUAAAACUUAAUGAAGAGCCAAUCAAAAUUGGCAAAUGCGUGAAGUUGAGAGACUUGAAUUUCUUAUGAUUUUAAAUAAAAAGUAAAAUUGAUUAGAUUGCAUAUGACAAGUUAUAAAAAUGAUCUUGUUAACAAGUGUCUUGAGGGUAUAUAAUCAUAACUAGUAAUGAGAUAUUUUCAUUUUUUUAUGCAGUGAUUGUGCAUGACGUGAGAAAGAUCGUACUUUGGCAAUGAAUUUUUUUCUAUAUUUUGGAUGUUUAACAAGUGUCCAUGGGGCAAUAAUAUCUCAUUAUGAAUAGUAAAUUUAUAAACUAUUGCGACAUCUCAAGAUCAUGGUGCCAAAAAACAUAAGCCAAAACGCAACACAAAGUUUACAUUGGCACAAUAAUUUUCAUUAUAUUUUUCCGGUCAAGAAGUGGUAUCAAUGUUGGACGCAAAUUGCGCAACCCCAAGAUCUCCAUAACUAAAACAAGAACAUGCAUAAUUGAGUAGAAAGAUUAACGCACCUGUUUUGGAAUCCAUCAAACAUAAAGCGGAAGCAGAAAAUGGAUUACCCACUCAUCAAGGGGAUCCACUGUUCUUAAAGUAGAAACAUAAACACAAUGUUUCACACGCAAGUCCUUCUCCUCUAUUGCCCUCUGUAUCACUAGCUCAAUGAGGCGGCCCCCUCACGUGUAACGUUAGGUAAACGCCCCUUAGGUGAGGAUACAUGUGAGAAUUAAGAUUAGAGGAAAGACUUGAGCACUAUUUAUAGAGUUUCCAACCAGUCCCUCUUAUUACGGGCCAGAUCAACGCGUGGCCGGCAGCGUUGGAUCCGUAUGGCUGUCCUCUAUCUUGUGGUGAAUUUAUUUUACAUGUUUGAUAUUUUAUGGAUGUGAAAAUACAUACGGAACCCUAAAUACGUGUAUUUUUAGUGUAUUUUUGCGUAUUUUUCUUAUAUUUUAUGUGAUUUUGGAAAUAUAAGUGUUGGGUUACAAGUAUAUUAUCACAUAAACAUUAUAAUGGUGUGAUUCAUUAAUAAAAAUUAAACUUUAUUGUGAACUGAAGCUGGCUUAAUGAGAUACAACCAUUAUGAAAUAGUAAUUGAGCUAUGUAUUGAGCUGAUGAGAAAUAGUAAAUGUUAUGAAACUUUUGUUGCUCAAGCAUACUUCUUGACAUGCUGGUAAUCUUUAAAUGAUAGACGUCUUAAGAACUCGUAACCAAACUGAUUGUACUGAUUAACUUUUCUACUGUAUGUGGGUAAUGCAUGUCAAUUAAGUUACUGCAUAUUGUACAUGAACUCAUCUGGUCACUUGUUAAUGUCUAUCAAGUUGAAUAUUUUUAUGGUUAAGGAGUAUGACAAUAUUUACGCAGAGUAAUAGUAUCCACUGUUAAAUUUUAGAUAUUUGGUUAUGUGUUUUGACUCAAAAUAUAGGCCACUAGUUGAUGUAAUGAUAAAAAUUGGCUAAUUAAUUAGCUAUUGGCAUUAGAGUCAUGUUUUGCCUUAUAAAACUCAUGAUCAAUAGUUGAUCAGCUAUUAAGCUUGUCAAUCUGGAUGCUUUAUAUUACUAUUGAUGUUAACUUAUGAUGAAUCCUUUGGAUCGGCAUUCUUUUUAUGUUGUUUUGGUUAUCAGUAAUCGGGAUGCACAAAAGAUGCUUUCUUCUAUAUUAUGAGAAGUUUCUUGUGUUGCUAUGAUCAGUGAUCUCAUUGAAAUCUGACUAACAGGUUCGCUAUAUAUAUAUAUAUAUAUAUAUAUAUAUAUAUAUAUGUAUAAAUAAAGAUUUUAUUAAUGAAUAAAGCAAUGUAAUUAGCAUGAUAUGUGAUUUUUGUGAUAUGUUGCCUCUAUCACUAAAGUUAAAAUCACAUGUAUAUGGUGUAUGUGAGAAGUAAAGUUUAUACCCCUGGUAUGAGAGAAUUUCAAUGAUUCAAUUGAGUAGUGACUGCCAAAGUGACACGCUUGAUUGGGUUUGAGAAAUUUCGGUCUCGUAUGAUUAUUGUGAUGUCUCCUAGUCUAAUGCAUAGUCAUACUCCUAAAGGAGGUGAUUGUGUAUUAGUUCAUGGAGGGAUACAUGAUGAUGUGGUGGAGGAGUGACUGAUCUAAUGACUCAUAUACCCAAAGGUGAUAAAUUCACGAAGAAUUGUAAUAUAUUCUCAUAACCGCUAUCAUAUGAGGAGUGUACAAUUGCAUGUCAUGUAUUCUGCCCAAAGGUGAUUAUAUGAUUAUGCGUGUAACUCUCUGAAUGUGUACUUGUGUGACAUCCCGAUUUUCCGAUUCUAUUUUCAAUAAAUUGAGACGGACAUUUCGUUGGCACGCAUAUAGUUCUUUUCCUUGAGUUGGCCACUCAUGUGAAAACUAGUCUAUCGGGUGAAGCCGUUAAGAGUUUCUAAUGCAUCAGACUCGAGAAUUUGACCAGGAAGCGAUCUUUCGACCGAGCUAAUCUGCAAGGGUCAUUACGGCACAAUUAAAAAUCGACUAGAGAUCGGAGAUAGGUCGACUCGACAGAGGCAUGUGAUCAGGUGUGGGUGAUUCCACCAGAUCGCACAAUUCUUGUCGAUCGCACAAUUCUUGUCGAUCGGCACUGGACCGACUUUUCUGUCGAUUGGGUACCCUGUGUUCGUAUUUGAAACCUUGAGAUUACCCCGAUAAUCGAAAGUCACCAAUGUUUCAAAGAUGUACGUUGUGGCUUGAGAUGAUCAACCACAGGUCAAAUGCAUAAAAAUUUCUAAAGGCUACCCGGUAGGUUGGACCACGCUGGUAUCGUGCCAAAGUGAAAUUAACUGUGGAAUUGAGAUCGAAUUCAGAAAUUGGAAGUUUGGGUGUGUCACAAAUCAUUUUAGGAACAUUGACUAAUUUUCGGAAGAUUUUCCAUGCAAGCCGAGUUUUUUAGCAAAAUAAUCAGAGAAUGGCUGAUUUGGCUCGAGAAAUUAGUAGGCUCGUCUUUGGUCGUGCUUUUGGGACUUAAGUUGGUUCUAUGGACAAGUGAAGAUAUGAAUUGAAGUGUGGCGACAUUGAAUUUAUUUUAUGGACUUCAAUUUGAUUCAAUUGGAAGAGAAUUGAUGGGAAUUGAAGAAAUUGGAUGUACAAGAUUUGGACCCCGGCGGAAAAUGAAAGUGCAACCAUUGGAGAAGUUAUGGGAGGGGGUUUGAGUGAGUGGAAGAUGACAUAGGAUGAUGUCAUGGUGGUUGAGGCCAAGGGUUGAGAUCUUGACAAAUGGAGGGUGGAGAUUGGCUCUUGAAAAGGUGGGCUUUCACUUCAUCUUCAAGCUUGGGAAGAGAGAGAGAGGGAGAGAGGGAGAGAGGAGGGGAGCUGCCAUUCGAACCAGCCAGCUGGCCGGAUGUCGCCUCCUUCGCCCGCUCGACGCCGCCGCUCGUUGCCGUCACCGCCGCGCACCGUCGCCGCUCCACCUUGGCUGUCGCCCUCCGUCUUUCUCCUUUCUCUUCCGUCGGUUCUCUCCUCCAUGGCUACUGUGCGAAGACCAGAAAAUGCAGUAGAAGAAAUCCAGUUGCAGCAGCCUUCGCCUGACCGGUCGCCCGUCCGCUCGUUGUCGCUGUUGCCCUCCGCCGUUCGCCGUCGUGCGUCCGCGCGAAGCCGCACGCUAGCUCGUCGGUCGGUUCGCACUCAGCCCGCGCGUCCAGCUCGUCGACCAGGCCGCCUCGAGCUGUCGCCGCCGCCGCCAAAGGGUCACCGGAGCUGCCGCCUUGCCCGCAUGAGUUGCCGCUGCCCUCCUCUGCCCAUUCCGGCGCCGGAUCCGCCGUUCUCGGCCCCAAAUCAGAAGCUGCAGAAAAUGGGUUUGGCAGCCCAUAUUUGGCCCAUUUUGGCCGGCUUUCCGAGCCCGGAUGCUCAGCCCGCCUUGAGGAAAGUCGAUCCUCGCGUCGUCCUCGUCGUUUUGGUCCGCUCGGCUCGUUAAUCCAAUGAGUUUAGCUCACUAAACCUCGCUUAGAGGGUUAAUUAUGCUUUAGGUGUGUUUAGCUUAAGUUAAUUAAGCUUAGGUGGUUAGUUGAAUUUAUUUAAUUGUGAAUUAGAUUAAGAGGUUGGAUUAACUUAAAGUAUGUUUGGUUAAGGUUAAAUUGAUGUUUAUAUUAGUAUAAUGGUGAUUUGACAUAAAUGAAUUACUUUUGGGAUUAAAUAAAUAUUUCGAAAUUGUUUAAUAAUUUAAUAAUAUUUUAUUAAUCGAAAUGAUUAAAAUAUUAUUAUUUAAUUAUUAUCGGAAUAAAUUUAAUUAUUUAUUAAAUUCCGAAAAUUUUGUCAGGACCCUAAAUUCUCAUAAUUUCGUGCAGCUCGCUGCUGUGUAGGCAGAUUUUGAAGUUGACGAUUGGAUAUUAUAAAUUGAGUGUGGAUCGUGAAAGACAUGGAUAUUAUUAUUUAAUUAAUUUUCGGAAUAAAUUUAAUUAUUUGAUAAAUUCUGAAAAUUAUUUUGGAACCUUAUUCUCCCAUAAUUUCGUGCUGAUCGCUGCUGUGUAUUUAGAAUUUGAAUUUGAUGAUUGAUUGUGGCAAAUGGAGUGUGAUUGUGAUAAAUAGGGAUUCUUUAUAAAAUCCUAAGUGUAGAAAUUGAUGGGAGAUUGGCCGUGAUUGACCACCUAUUAGAGAUCGUGCCCAGUGAGGCCGUGAUGUACCAGUGAGGCUGUGAUUGACCACCUAUUAGAGGUCGUGCCCAGUGAGGCCGUGAUGGACCACCUAUGAGAGGUCGUGCCUAAUAGGGCCGUGAUGAACCACCUCUGAGAGGUCGUGCCCAGUGAGGCCGUGAUGUACCACCUAGGAGAGGUCGUGCCCAGUGAGGCCGUGAUUGACCACCUAUUAGAGGUCGUGCCCAGUGAGGUCGUGAUGGACCACCUAAUUAAAGGUCGUGCCGAGUGGGGCCGUGAUUGCCACUGUUUGUUAAACUUUCCUAUAGGGUCGGGAUUGAGAGCAAUGAUUGAUUUGCUAGAAUGACAGGUAAUCGGCCGAGUCGAUUGAUCGCUGAGACAAUCCAAGUGGUUAAAUUGUUUUGAUAAUGUGAUUGUGCCAUGGUUGUUUGGUUAUCAUAAUUGUACGUGGUUGAAUUAUAUAAAUUGUGCUAACCUGCAGAUGAAGGCUAAGGCGAGGUAAGUCUUCUGUGUGAUGUGUCUAGGCCACCCGGGGCGUAUUUUCUUUCUAAUAGGGGUUUAGGGGGUUGAACUUGCUGAGACAUUGUCUCAUCCCGGUUGUGGGAUUAAAAUUUCAGGUCCCUGGUGGACGGAGCGGCCAGAUAGCUUUGGUUGGCCUUGAGGAGUUGCAGAGGUGAAGUCAUAAGGAUUGGAGAGAGUGUCCGACUUGUAGAUCGUAGGACAAUUCAUUUUUAAGAGCCGGUCUUUUGUAGACUUUUGGCUAUAGGCCUUCGUCUGUAACUCCGUUGGUUUAUGUAAGUGAUUGGUUGUGAAAUUGUUUCCUGCUUUUCUAUCCCGUAUUUUAUUGUCAGGGGUUUUAUUAUACGUUCCGCUUGCGCAAUAAAAAAAAUAUGAAAGGGGUUGGCGACACUACCUGGGAAUGUCGCAUUUGUUCGACCGCAGUGGGAUGUGCUCACGCUAGGGGUUCGGGGCAUGACAACUUGUAUGUCAAGUUACACAGUGCUCAUAUGAUGCUAAUUAUAUACAUUGCUUAGUUUUCAGUCACCUUUUCUGUAAUUAAUAACUUCAUUAUUAUUGAGGUUUUUAUUGCUUCAAGUUUUAAGUAGUGAACAUAUGAUUUGCUGCUGGGAAAAGAGUAAUAGAAUUUGCUUAUUGUUCAUGAAGCGUUCCAUUCAAGAACACUUGAAAAGAGGUUUACCUGCGGACUGCACUACUAUAAGAUGAUGAAAGCCUUAGUUGCUUGAAAUUAUGUUUUGUCUGAUAUUGAAAUUAGGACACAUAUGCUAAGAUUGACGUAAUUGUAGAGGAUAGCUGCUCUCAGACUAUUAAAGAUAAUAGUAUUAUGGAUGUUACUGUGUUUUUGUCUUUACUUAUACAUAUAAUUAUGGAAUCUCUUGUACCAUAGACUAAACUUGUUGAGGUUCUAAGUACUAUUCUUGAUAUGGUUUAUAAUGAAAUUUCUUAAACCUCUCAAGUGCAGAAUGAAGUGGUUGCAGCUUUAUUAAGGAGAUUUGUUAGGGAAAGACGAUCAGUUAUAUCAUCAGACUAUAUAGUCUAUUUAUGAGAGCAUAAUUACAAUAUCCACUAUAUGGUUGAUGUAAUGACAUAUUUAUAAAUGUCGUUUUUUUAUUCUUAAUCAAGUAUGUGAUUAGAUGCCAUAAAAGACGGUAUACAAUCUAUGAAACAUCAUAGUGUUUGGAAACUAAUUUACUUGCAUAAAGAUCAUAAGUUCAUUAGUUGCAAAUUGGCGUACAAAACUAAAAGAAUUUCAAAGAAAGAUUGUAGAAUUUAAAGCCAAAUUGGUAACUAAAAUUUUCACUCUGAAAGAGGGAUGGAUUGUUUAUAAUGAAGAAAUAAUUAUUUCUUUAAAGAUUCUUUCAGAGUGAAUAUGGCAAUAAUAAUUUAUUUUGAUAUGAAGUUACGCCAAAUAGAUACAAAAUCUAUAUUGUGCAAUUGGAGGAUUUUGCAACAGAUGUUUCAAGUAAACUUGUGUGUAGACUGAAAAGUCUUAUUCAUAGUUUUAAACAAGUUUUUAGAUAAUAUUAUUAAAGUUUCAUAGUGUUAUUGUUUUGUUCAAUUUGGAACAAAGUAAUUCAAUAUACUGCAAGGUCAGUGGGAGGAAAUUUAUUUUUUCCCAUACUCUAUGUACAUAAUAUUUUUGCUUACAAGUUGUGACCUUGAGACAUCUUAUAUCCUUUGUACUGAGAUCUGUAAAGAUUGUUUUUGCCAUAUUAUAUUAGAUUUUCUCGUAGGACAUUUGCUAAUUGUAUAUUGGAAAUAUUCAAUAUACAUUAUUGCAAGCUAGGAAUUGCUCAUGUUGUUAAGGGUGAUGGACUGAAUCUAUCACAUUGUCCUUAUUUAAAUAUUGAGAAAAUCUAAUUAAAUGGUGUACCUUGUGUUAGUGCACUUAAAAGUAUAAUAUAUGCUCGAAUUUGCACUAGACUAAAUAUUGUCUUUGUGACGAAACUUCUAGGCAGAUAUCAAUCAAAUUCAGAACGUGAUCACUGGGUUGCUGCAAAGAAGGUUUUCAGGUACUUAAAAGGACAAGAAAUUAUAUGCUAAUUUACAGACAUGUUUAAUUCUUGCAGUUAGUAGGGUAUUUAGAUGUAAAUUUUGUUGUCUGUUAGGAUGACAAGUGAUCAAUAACAUAAUACAUAUUUAUGUUAGUAGGAAAUGCAGUAAAUAAAAUUCUUUGACAUCUUCUACUAUGUAAGCAGUGCUAGUAACAUUCUUUUAGGUUGUUACUUGGGCUAUUAGGCUUCAGAACCUCAUUAAGGAGUUGACCAUUUUUAAUUUUAUGAAUUGACCCAUACGGUUGUAUUGAGAUAACAAAUUUGUAGUAUUAUUUAUUUGCUACAAAGAUCUCAAGGGAUCUAAAUAUAUGGUGGUCAAAAUUUUUGACCAAAAGGAAACGGUACAGUAAGCUGACAUAAUAAUAUAAUAUAUUUUCACAGAUGAUGUGGUUGCAGAUCCAUUAACUAAAGACCUACGCUCAUGUGUAUUUUAGUGACAUGUCAUUAGCAUGAGCUUAGGAGUAUCUUUGAAUACUGUUGUUUAGUGUGAGCUAUUUUGGCUUUACUCUGAUAAAGAUUUCAUCUGUAUUCGUUACACUUUGUAACGGUUUGAUAUGUAUCAACUUUUGCAUUCAAUAAAAUAUUUUUGAAUGUAUUGUUAUUAUGUUGAAUACAUAUUGAUAAAGUCUCAAGGGAUUGUAUAAACCUUGAGUGAAGGCUAGGGGCAUCCAGUUAUUAGCCUUGUGCAUAUGUCUGGUGAUACAUAAAGAAAUGUUAACUAUAAGGACAAGACAUAUGUGGGUUCAUUGGAACCAUAAAACAUUAUUUAGUGGCAUAAGUUUUUGUGACGCCUAAAGUUAAGAGAAUUGUGACUAACAAAUGGGAUCUCUCUAUGAGAAAUGUUAUCCAUUUGCCACACUAUCAUAUUGAAUCCAUAUCAAUAAAGUUGAGAACAUUCGUGACUAUGGAAGGCUCUGUGUGUAUACAUGCAGUUACCGCAAUGAUUCGGUGUUUAAGACUUUAUGGGAGAUGAUUGACUAUUAAGAAUUAUCUCUGGACCAAUGUGCGCACAUACAGUACGAUUUCAAUUAAUAUAGUCCAAGUGGGAGAAUGUAAGAGUUUUCUAAUUGUGGACUACAUUAAUUGAUAUUGUAAUUUACCGUUUAAUGUUUAUCGUUUUACGGGGUUUGGUCUAAGGUGAGAUAGAAGGUUUCUUAAUUAGUCUAAUAUGGGCUAGCUAGUGUGGGCCAAGUUGAGCCUGGCUCAUAUUAGACUAAUUAAGAAACCUUCUAUCUUACCUUAGACCAAACCUCGUAAAACGGUAAACGUUAAACGGUAAAUUACAAUAUCAAUUAAUGUAGUAUAUAAUUAGAAAAACUCUUACAAUCAAUGCAUUGUCGCGUAAGCACAUGAAAGGAAAAGGAAUUUGGAUCGCCACAUCCCUUCUCUUUCUAAUUUCAUCACUACAUUUCUUUUCCCAAAAAAUGAAGCUACCGCUUCUUGGAAAAAGAAGAAGAAGAAGCCUCUUUAGAUAUUUCUUCUUCCAUUGAAUACGUGACGCUGCUAGCCAAAAACCAUCAGGAAUUAUCAAAAUUUGAAAUCCCAGAAAUAGAAGAAAAAAGAAAUAUAUUAAAACAAUAAAAUGGAUCUUUUAUUAAAUUAAUCACACCAAAAAAUACAAACUGAUACAUGUAUAAUAAAUUUACUCUAAAUUAAAUUUUGAUCACCAAAAACCCCAAACUAGUAUAUUUGUGAUAAAUUUAUCAUCCCUUCAACCGUUAAAUUGGAUUGAUACCACAAAAAAUCACAAAUUGAUACACUUAUGACAAACCAAUGGUAAAACCUUAAAUUGGUACACAUGUAUUCAACUUAGUAACUUGAAGAUACAAUUUAACGAAAACAAAUGAAAAGAUAAAUUUGUCACUGGUGUACCAAUUUAAGAUUUAUGUUUAUAGUGACCUAAAUCCCUCUUGACAAUUCAUGAAUUAAGAAUUCUCACAACAACAAGCUCUACUCGAUAAAGAAUUAAUUUUGAGUAAUUUUAUGUUAAAAAUAUGAAUUUGAAGUUUUUUGUGAUAAUAAUUUUUUUAUUUUUUAAAAAUAGGGAAAUGGACGACCAAACUGAUGAUGGUACGUAGUUUUGCAUUCAAUUUUGCUAUAUAUAUAUAUAUAUAUAUCCCCCGCUUGAGAGACAUUGUGUGACUUAGGCUGCGCAUGGUAAAAUUUUUGUUUCUCAAUUUCUCAAUUUCUCUAUUCCCCGGAACAGGUUUGGAACAGAAAUCCGUUUGGUAACGCAAAUUGAUUUCUCUAUUUCUGAAACAGAUUUCUGUUUCAGAAAUUGUUUUGGAGGAGAAAUCAGAAGCUAAAAAUUUAGCUUCUCUAUUUCUGAAGUAGAAAUAGAAAUUGUUUCUUAUCCAUCCACCUCCUUCCUUAAGCAGACUCGACUCCUUCUCUCCUCACUAUCGUUGCUUUCCCAUUCCUUCUCCUCACCUCAACCAAAAACCCUAGCGACUCCGAAGCUGUUCAUCCUCACCGUCGCCGCUCAUCUCGACCGGCCAAUUUGCUCCGGUCAUCCAGUCGGACCCGCCUCGUCCAUCCGCAUCCCCAAUCACGCUCUAGUCGCCAUCGCCCAGUAGCUGUCGUCGUCGCCCAACUCCAGUAGCCGUCUCCGUCGCCCAUCUCCAGUCGCCGUCGCCGUCGCCCAUCUUCGUUCGCGUCCCCUUCCACUCUCGAUUCCGCGGAUCCAGUCGCCCAACUCCAGUCGCCGUCGCUGUCGCCCAUCUCUGUCCGCGUCCCCUUCCGCUCUCAAUUCUGCGGAUCCAGUCGCCGUCGCCCCUUUCUGCCUUUGAUUCCUCACGAGGUUCGAUCGAUCAUUCCCUUUUCACCUCUUUCUUGGUUGUUUUGUGCUUGUUCUAUGCUUGUGCUCUGCAAACGAACGGUUGGUGUUUGUGCUGCGAGUCUGGGCUGCUAUGUUUCUCGGUGGGGUGGGGAAUGUGAGAGCGAUUGCGAAUGGUUGGUGUUUGUGCUGCGAGUUCUUAGGUAGAUUUCAUCCGGGUUGCUCUGUUUCUCAGUGAGGGUGGGGAAUAGAGAUAAUUUUUACAACGGGAAAAGAGAAAGGAACGAUGGGCACCUUUUUUCUUUCUGCUGAAGGUCAACGGACUGUUGAUAUCAGAAAUCUGUUUUUGCUUAAUAGGACAAUCUGUGAAACAUAUCAGUGAUGGAUAAUAUUUCAACUAAAAUUAUUUGAUAUAUAUUGUAGAUAUAAUAGAAAGAGAUGUUAUACAGAGCUAAGAUUUAUCAUAAUUUGAGAUGAAUUUUGAAACAACCCCCGAGAAAAACAGAAAUAAUAACAAUAAGAAACUGGUGGGACUCAUGCUUGAUUUUGGAAUUGUUAGAACUAGAACUGUUCUUUCCCUUGAUUUUUUUUGUAAAUCAUAUAAAUUCUGUAAACCAUAUUAAUUCUUUGACUUAAAAUUGCUUAUGGCAAGUGGACUCAUGCUCGAUAGUGUCUGAUGAGCCAUUACAGAGAUUUAUCCUCAUUUUUCUAAUUAUGUUGUAUUGGCAGUGCUCUUUUGUACCUGGCUAUUAAUGGUGUCACGCCACGAACCUCGAGCGCGCCAACAUCCCACUGCGGUCGAUCAAAUGCGACAUUCCCAGGUAGUGUCGCCGACCCCAUUGGUUUAUUAAUGCGCAAGCGGAACGUAUUAUAAAACCCCUUACAAUAAAAUACGGGAUAGAAAGGCAGGAAACCAAAUCACAACAUAACACUUCCAUAAUUCAACAGAAUUACAAACAGAGGUCUACGGCCAACAGUCUACAAAAGACCGGCCCUUAAAAAGGAAUUGUCCUACGACCUACAAGUCGGACACGCUCUCCAAUCCUUAUGACUUCACCUCUGCAACUCCUCAAGGCCAACCAAAGCUAUCUGGUCGCUCCGUCCACUAUGGACCUGAAAUUUUAAUCCCACAACCGGGAUGAGACGAUGUCUCAGCAAGUUCAACCCCCUAAACCCUUAUUAGAAAGAAAAUACGCCCCGGGUGGCCUAGCCACAUCACACAGAGGACUUACCUCGCCUCAGCCUUUAUCUGCAGGUUAGCACAAUUUAUAUGAACCAACCACGUGCAAUUAUGAUAACCAAACAACCAUGGCACAAUCACAUUAUCAAACCAUUCAACCACUUAGAUCGUCUCAGCGAUCAAUCGACUCGGCCGAUUACAUGUCAUUCUAGCAAAUCAAUCAUUGCUCUCAACUACGGCCCUACUCGGCAAAUUUAAAUCAGUGGCAUCACGGCCCCACUCAGCGCGACCUUUAACAGGUGGCAAUUCACGGCCCCAUUGGGCGCGACCUCUAAUAGGUGGCAUAUCACGGCCUCAUCGGACACGACCUCUAAUAGGUGGUUUAUCACGGCCUCACUGGGCACGACCUCUCAUAGGUGGUUUAUCACGGCCUCACUGGGCACGACCUCUCAUAGGUGGUUUAUCACGGCCUCACUGGGCACGACCUCUAAUAGGUGGUAUUUCACGGCCUCAUCGGGCACGACCUCUCAUAGGUGGUUUUUCACGGCCUCAUCGGGCACGACCUUUCCUAGGUGGUUUUUCACGGCCUCAUCGGGCACGACCUCUAAUAGGUGGUCAAUCACAGCCAAUCUCCCAUCAAUUUCUACACUUAGGAUUUCAUAAAUAAUCCCUAUAAAUCGCAAUCACACUCAAUUCAUCACAACCAAUCAUCAAUUUGAGAUUCUACUAGCACAGCAACGAUCGGCACGAAAUUCUGAGCAAAUAAGGUCCCAAUGAAAAUUUUAGAAAUUUAAUAGAUAAUUAAAUUUAUUCCGAAAAUUAAUUAAAUAAUAAUAUCCAUAGUUUUCGAAAUCCACACUCAAUUUAUAAUAUCCAAUCAUCAAUUUCAAAAUCCGACUACACAGCAACGACCGGCACGAAAUUCUGAGAAUUUAAGGUCUCGACAAAAUUUUCGGAAUUUAACAAAUAAUUUAAUUUAUUCCGAAAAUAAUUAAAUAAUAAUAUUUUAUUAAUUUCGAAUAAAAUAUAUUAUUAAAUUAUAUAAUAAUUUCGAGACAUUUAAAUAAAUCAAAAGUAAAUUCAUUUAUGUCACAUCAAUGUUUAUAUUAAUAUAAACACCCACUUAAAUUUAAAUUAAACACAAUUUAAGUUAAUCAAGCACAUUAAUAUAAUCUACACUUAAAUAAAUUAAACUAACCACCUAAUAACACUUAACAUAGGCUAAACACACCAAAAGCAUCAUUAACCCUCUAAGCGAGGUUUAGUGAGUUAAACUCAUCGGAUUAGCGAGCCGAGCGGACCAAAACGACGGGGACGCCGAGGAGAACAACUUUCCUCAAAGCGGGCCUAGCAUCCGGGCUCGGGAAGGCGGCCAAAACGAGCCAAACGUCCGCUGCAUACCCAUUUUCCAACUCUCUGAUCGCUGCUGGUUGGGGCCGAAAAUGAGCAGAUCCGGGGCUGGUUGGGGUCGGGAAUGGGCGGAGGAGCUGAACCGGACCUAGGCGGGGCUUCACGGUGGCCGGAGGUGAGCUGGGCGGCUCCGGCUGAGCUUCCCCAGAUCUGGAAAUGACUGCUGGACUCGCGGAACAGCAGGGACGAGCAGGCUUGCUGCGCGAGGACGGCGGGGUGUCGCGAGAGGCGGACGGCGGCAAGCGGGGCGCGACAGCGGUCCGACUAGACUGCUGGCUGCUCCGGCGUCUUCCCAAAUCUGCUGGGACACGAGCAGCAACUGGAGAUGGAGAAGAGAGGGCUUCGACUACGGCUAAAGAGGGAGAGGGAGCCGGUUGCGCGCGGUGAGGCGCGGGACUACGACGGCGUGCAGCGGCGGUGAUCGGCGACGGGCGGAGCUGCUCUGGUUCGCUGGUCUUCAGCUUCUUCAGCUUGCUGCGUUUCUUCGAGCAACAAGAAGAAGAUGGAGGGGAGGUCUCGACGGAGGAGAGAGGGAGAAAACCGGUUUCUCUCUCUUUCUCUUUCUCUUUCUCUUUCUCUCUCUCUCUCUCUUUGGCCCCACCAUGACCUCAUGCAUGACAUCACACUCCACUAUCUCCCACAACCAUACUCCAAUGGGUCCAUUUUAUUUUUCCGCCGAGGUCCAAUUCUUGUACGUCCCAUUUCUUCAAUUCUCAUCAAUUCUCUUCCAAUUGAAUCAAAUUGAGGUCCAUAAAAUAAAUUCAAUGCCACCACACUUCAAUUCACAUCUUCACUUGUAUAUAAAAUCAACUUGAGUCCCAAAAGCGCGACCAAAAGCGGCCUACUAAUUUCUCGAGCCAAAUUAGCUAUUUCUUGAUUAUUUUGCUAAAAGCUCGGCUUGCAUGAAAAAUCUUCCCGAAGAUGAUUCAAUGAUCUUGAAAUGAUUUGUGACACACCCCGACUUCCAAUUUCUGAAUUCGAUCUCAAUUCUACGGUUAAUUUCACUUUGGCACGAUACUAGCGCGGCCUAACCUACCGGGUAGCCUUUAGAGAUUUUUAUGCAUUUGACCUGUGGUUGAUCAUCUCAAGCCACAAUGUACAUCUUUGAAACAUUGGCGACUUUCGGUCGUCGGGGGUAAUCUCAAGGUUUCAAAUACGAACACAUGGUACCCAAUCGAUAGAAAAGUCGGUCCAGUGUCGAUCGACAAGGAUUAUGCGAUCCGGUGGAAUCACCCACACUCGAUCACAUGCCUUUGUCGAGUCGACCUAUCUCCGGUCUCUAAUCGAUUUUUAUUUGUGCCGUAAUGACCCUUGCAGAUUAGCUCGGUCGAAAGAUCGCUUCCUAGUCAAAUUCUCGAGUCUGAUGCAUUAUAAACUCUUAACAGCUUCACCCAAUAGACUAGCUUUCACAUGAGUGGCCGACUCAAGGAAAAGAACUAUAUGCGUGCCAACGAAAUGCUCGUCUCAAUUUAUUGAAAAUAGACUUGGAAAAUCGGGAUGUCACAAAUGUGACCUAUGGGAGUGAAGUUUCAAAGGAGCUGACCCCUUUGUGGAUCCUGGGGCCACUCCUCGUUGCCCUCUAUGUCAAGCUGUUUUGAGGAUUGUGGGCACUUUAUUUGUUCACUUUCAAGCAGACAGUUAAAGUAGUUAAGAACUUGCUUGUGUACUACCUCACUGCUUAUCAGUAUGUCGCAAACGGGAAGCUAAAAGAAGACGUAUGUUCUCAUGUCUGGCAACCUGUGGUGGAUGUAAAGAACUUGGACUACAAGGAGCUUUCUAGAAGGAAACUUAAAGAAUUGCAAGAGUGGUUGCUGGAGUGGUAUUUGGAUUUUAUUGAGUCAAUAUGGCCAUAUUACUGUAGAACAAUUAGAUUCUUAAAGAGGGCCAAUUUCAUUUGAGUUGCACAACUUGAUUCGAGAAGGCAGGGCUAAGUGUCAAGAUUGUUUAGAUGGUUUUUUGAAUUCAUGAUAUGGUUUGAGAGCCCCAUUUUGCCCUGGAGCUCUUGGUUAGAUCUUGAUCAAGUUGAGUUGACAGCAAGCAGUCAGGGAUAUAUAUAAUUUUUUGGGGGCAACAUUUUAAUUCAUGUAUGAGAUCCUCAUAAAUCAUUUUAUGUGGUUGCAUAUGUUAUUUGAUUGAGAGAAGCAAAAAUGACUGAUUUUUCUGAACUACCAAGCAGAGCAUUUGGUUCUAUUUUCGAUCUAUUCUUUUGUUGUUUCAUUGUUUUCUUCACGCAACAUGAUGAUGUUCUAAUGUUUGAAUCUCUGAAUGUAUCUGCACUGAUGCUUUAGAUAUUUCAGGUGGGUUGACCCUGUGCUAAGAUACUAGAAAAUUUAUAUGCAAUGCAGUGGGAAAAUGACUUUUUGAGAACCUUUUGUCCUCGAAGUUUUUUGUUUAUUUCCUACUUGAUUCCGAGAUUUUCUACAAAAAUUUUGAGUUAUGAAGGCAGCAUCUCUCGAAAUUUUGUCGGGAUCAUUCCCAGUAGUGAAUCACUUUGGUGUUGAUCCUGCAUUUGGUUUUAUAUGAGGCAUGAUUUCACCUCCAAGAAAAGGCAUGUUGGUUAUGAAGUUAUACUGUGAGGAGUAGUAAUUGGUAGUCUGAUAACUGAUUAUGUAUGUGUGUUGGAGAUUUACCUGUAGGAAUAUAAGAACGAUUUGACUGGAAGUUGUUAUGCUCACUUUGUUUUGAAUGUUAAAGUGAAAGGAUUGCAGAAAUUAUGCGUGUGCUUGAACUCGGAAAAAUGUAUAGCCAAUAAAUAAUUGUGAAUUUUUCUGCAUUAAAUACCAAUUCUUAUAUUGAUCAGGACUAGUAUUUGAUCCAUUCAGGCCGGAAUUGAAUUGAAGUCCAUGUCACGGUAAUGUGCGUCAAAUGCCUCGCUCCACUUGAAUGUUUAUAAGUUGGAUGAUGAGUGUAGAUAAACGGGAACAAGACUGUUAGGUAAGCCAAAGAAAGCUUAAUAUGGAAACUCGUUGCCUUCAGUUAACCUCACUGAUUAAAAAAACCAUUUCCACGAGAUUUAUUUAAAUCAAAUUUUAUUGAAACAUCUGAUUCUAAGUGUCCUUUAUCCCUCAAAUGUAAGUUCCCUAUUCCCAAAUCUUUUAUAGUUUGCAUACUAGCAUUUUUUAUACUAAUUACUAGCUUUUAUUUACAUAAAUUGCUAAUGUUUUGAAGUUCCUAACUACUCUAUCGAAUUACCAAUAUAAAUUAAAGUGAUUUACCAACUUUUAUCAAAUUAAAUUACCAUCACAAGCACCAAGAAGAGUGAGGUAAAAGGAUGGGGACAAAGUGAUUCAUAGAAAUAUAAAUUUUUUUUUGUUAUCAAACGGAUUUCUGUUUCAGAAAUAGAAAUUUUGAGUCGUUAUCAAACAGGUUUCUUUGCUCAGAAACUUGUCCGGGGAAUAGAAAUUGAGAAAUUGAUUUCUGUUUCAGAAAUUUUACCAUCCGCAGCCUUAAAAGACAAUCAAGAAUCCGCAUGAAGAAAAGAAAAGAACUUUGAAUGUGAAUCGAUCCAAACUACGAUUUCAGUUCUGUACCUCUCUGCCCCCUCAACGAUGAUUUUCCUCGGAACGAAGCGAUUAAUUUUUUUUUUUUUUUGGGGGGGGUGGAAGCAGUCUUUUUUCUUCCAUUUCUCUCACACCACUAGAGACCAUCACAGUCAUCAAGCAUCAUCUGUACUGUAGCUACUUGGAGAAUCAUACAAUGCCGAAGAGAGCGAGAGAAGUAAAGGAUUCAAAUGCUGCUGAAGUGGGCAACGAGCGUGAAGGUACCAUUUUCCUCUUUGAGUUUCUCCCGAAAACAAGAAAUGAAAAUGAACUUGUGCAAUUUAAUGGCGUGAUGAUGUGUCUAUUGAGCUUCUUCAGUUGAUCUCUUUUUCCCUUUCUGGGUUUGUUGUUGUUUCCCUGUUGGUGAUUUUGGGGGGUUUUAACUGAGCAGAGAGAACUACGGAGACUAGAAAGAUCCCGCCAGUGCAUUAUGCGUUCAAGUUCGAGUAUUUCUCUCUAUUGUCAACGAACGAAAUCACCAUGUAUGAGACAAACGAAUUCGAAGUCGGUGACCAGAAGUGGUAUAUCUAUGAUCUCUCUUUGCAAGCACAAAUAUUCGGGCAACUCCAUCCUCGCUGUCUUCUAGGUUUUAUUGUUUCUUAACAUGGACAGAUAAGAUGGCGGUAUAUAUAUCGUCAUAAAGAAGGCUUGAGGAUGUCUUUUAGGUUGCAAUGUUCAUUCUGAUCGAAUCGACAUUUUAGGAGGCUCAGAUGAAUCUGGUGAAUGUGGGUAUCCAAGUUAAGAUGUGGUUAGGGUGGGUUGCUUCUUGCGAUUAUUGGUAAAUAGCUAAUUAUGCAUAGGGAUGCGGUCCUUCGUUGAAAGAAACAAAGGCUCCAGUAGUGUUCGGUGAGGAUAGAAAAUUUGUUCAAAGGUCUGAAAAUUGAAGAUCUUUCAUGGGCAAAUCGGUCGUUAUUCAGCUAACAACAGAAACUCUUCAUGGUAUAUGUUUCUUGAGUCUGAUGUUUUGUCAUUGUGUAGGCAAUUGAUUCUGUAUCCUAAUGGAGACAGGAGCAGGAAGGGAGAGGAUCACAUGUUCCUAUAUCUGGCUGUUUCUGAGGCCAAUCCUCUGAAAGUUGGCUGGGAGAUAAAUGUAACUGUUAGGUUCUUUGUGUUUGAUCCAAUUCGUGAUGAAUACUUGGCAAAAGAAGGUACGUUUGUUCCCUAAAUUAGUUAAAGAAAAAGUGAUCAACCCUUUGGUAGCUUGGAGAACUCUUGCUUCAUAUAUUGCCAGGAAAAACUGGAGGUUUCACGCAAUGAAGUCCAAAUGGGGUAUUCCAAGAUUUAUGCCACUCAAAACUUUCAUCAAUCCACCAAAUGGCUACCUUGUUGAUGACAAUUGUGUGUUUGGAGUGGAGGUCUUUGUCGAAAAAAGUUUAGGUCUGGGUGAAUGCUUGACACUAAAAGCGAGUCCAAAGUCUGUUAGUCACGAAUGGAAGAUAUCAAAGUUCUCUACUUUGGUGAAUGAUUGCUACUCUGAAGUAUUCGCUGCGGGGAGUCACGAGUGGUAGCUCUUAUAUUACCCCCGUAGCUUUUGUUUGGUUUUGUUUUUGUUUUUUUUAAGCUUUUGCAUAUUCCUUUUUCUUGAUUUUGUAUCAUUGAUUGGUUGCGUUUCUCCUUAUGUUCAGGAAGUUGCAUCUAUGUCCAAGGGGUGACGAGCAUAACAAGGACAAAAAUAUGUCGAUGUAUCUUUGUUUAGUAGAUUCAGGUGAUCAGAAAGUCAAAGCCACUUAUACCAUUCAGCUAAAAGGCAAAGCUGGCAAGACGCAUCAGUCGACAGGAAGUAACUGCCGAUCUAAAAUGGAUGGCGAGCACAAAAUCUUUAGCCAAGCUUGAUUAUAUCUGAAUGAAUGGAAAGAUAACUGCAAUGUCAUUAUUAUGAACAUGUUAUAAUUCUUAUCCCUCUUUCUCGUCGUGGCAUAAGCACACUAUAUACUAAGUAUUUAAUCUGAUUUAUUUGGUUUGCCACCAUUAUUCUCGAGUUUAAGAUUAAUACAGCUAAUCUUCUUUUGCAGGUUUUAAUAGGGUCAAGCGUCCAAGUGAAAAGUUCGGUUGGCCCUUCUUCUUGCCGCUGAAAACUGUUCAAGAUUACUUGGUGAUGAGUGUGUCAUGAAGGCUGACGUGAAAGUUCUUGGCACAGCGAGUAAACUGCCAUGAAUUGCUGCCGAGUUCAUGAUCAAUCACUAACUAAUGUUUCUUCCGUGGGUUGAGCAUGUUUUUUCUUUUCUUUAGAAAGAUAUGUACUAUCUGUUUUAGUAUUUUCUCUCCAGCUAUUUGAUCUUUAGCGGUGGUGAUAUUAUCUCUUUUAUGUUCAAAGCAGCCAAAACAUUAUUAUUCUCUUGCUAGUUCAAUGCCAAUUUCGAGAUUUUUUUUCCCCAAAUAAGAUGAGAAAAUUUCAUUUUCUUACAUACAUAAACAACGUAAAAGAUAAGUUAUUUUUAUAAUUCCCCUGCAAUUAACUCUAACGUGAAUAAUUUGAUGGGCUCAUUGAAUAACAAAUCCUACAUGCCAGAUAAUAUGAAUGAAAAAUUUCAACUCUGUCCGUCGUCCACAGUGUUUUCGAUCCUUGUAGAAAUAUCCCAUAUUCUAAAUUUAAAGCUAAACACGCCCCCUGAUAUAUCGAUUUAUUCAAAUAAUAUUUUCCUGUCGUCAUAUGUUUGGAUCCUUCCAUGCUAACAGUAUCUUCAUUGCAAGAAACAAGGGAGAAAAAGAAAACUAGGAUUUCAUCAGAAGGCGUUGAACGAUGAGAAUAAUAGAAAUAGGAAUGGCUUCUACUGCUUCUGACAUGCGUCGCGAAGGAUCAUGUCGAAAGCAUCAAGCAGCGAAUGGUUGUACAGCUCGGAGUCUAUGAAGCCUUGCUCAGCUCCAACGGCCACUCUCAGAUUUCCCGCAUAGCUGAAGAUCGUUAUGCGGAGACUCUGCAAAAGUUAAACGCAAGAAGGUAUUUCAUGCGUUCAUGACAUUAUCGUUUACAAAGAAGAAGGCCACUCAGAAUUCAGUCUAGUCAUUAUGUGUUAUGGUAAACAAGGCAAAUCAAAAUUUAAAUUCGACGGUUCUGUCUACUCUUACAGAUGGCAUAGGAGCCUAAUUGUUGCAUAAACUCUGUUACAAUAUCAUGUUAUGUACUAGAAAAGUUUGUGUUUACAACCUAUAUAUAAGUCCCAGAUGUCGCAAUCUAUAUGGAUAUUUCAGAAGAAGAUGCAUGUAGUGACUUGGAAAAUGAGGCUUGGUACCAAAACUUUAGACCUACCAGCCAAGCAUUGGUAAUUUUAUGGGGAGAAUUAUAAAAAAAAUUCAUAAACUUAUUGCAAUUGUGCCAAUUUAGUUAUAAACAUUUUUUUUUGGCCAAUUUAGUCCUAAAUAUUUUGCAUUUGUGCUAAUUUAGUCCAUUUAGCUAAUAUUGGCCAUCGGCGCUGAUGUGGUAUUACUAGUAUUGACGUAACAUUUUUAAUAUAGUAUUUUAAUAAUUUUUCUUUUAUUCUUUAAUUUUUUUCCCCUUCCCCUUCCCCCUCCCCUUCCCUUUCCCUUAGAGCUGGCCAAGGUUGGGAUGCCCUCGCCAACACAACCCUUGCCUAGCUAGAUCUAUGGCCGGUGAUCCUUGCCAACUCUGGGAAGGGGAAGGGGAAGGGGAAGGGGAAGUGGAAGAGGAAGGGAGAAAAUAUUAACAAAAAGCAAAGGAAAAAUAAAAUAAGGAAAAAAUUAUAAAAAAUUAAAAUAUUAUUUUAAAAACGUCACGUCAGCAUCGAUAGUGCCACGUUAGCGUCAGCCAGCCAAAAUUGAUUAGAUGGAUUCGAUAGCAUAAAUGCAAAUGGUUUAGGAUUGAAUUAGUCAAAAAGUUUAUGAUUUAAUUGGUAUAAUCAUAAUAAGUUUAGCACUUCUUUGAUAAUUCUACCUAAUUUUAUGCUCUUGGGUCCAAAAUCAAAAUUAACGAUGAUUAAAUAAAUACCUCAGGUGUGCCGGCGAUGGUGUAGUACAUGCCUUUAAGAGGAUGAUUAGCCAGAGACAAAUUGUCCACUGGCCCUAUAAGGUUGGAGAUGCACAUGCUCGAGUUUCUCGCUGUCCUGCUGAUGUGCUUUGCUACAGCCUGCAAGUACUAGCAAACAAGAGCACAUUCAUAUCAAUUUUGUAAAUCAGACUUAGCAUAUUUAGCAUUUUUGCUUAAUCUAUCGUCCCGACGUGCACAAACCUCUGCGUUUCUGCAUUUCUGCAUGAUCUCAAGUAGCUUCCCUGUGAGGAUUACACCGAAGGAGCUUCGUUUCCUCUUGAUCACCUCAUGAGUUUUGUGGACAAACUUCAAAGGAUCAGAGAACUGAGAAUCGCUUGGUUUCACUUUCGGUAUCGGCACAUGCAAGAAUGCAAAAUGAUUUCCCCAUGGUGACUCCGAAUUAGGUCGGACCAUAUCUUUCACUGGCUUGUAAUCUCGCAAAUUCCUUGUAUUUAGCAACACCAGUGCUGUGGAGUUGGUGCUCAGGUUCGAGUUUGUGCUCACUCUUUGCAUGUACAAUCGAGUUGCCAAGAAGAUUACUCCCAAAAUCACAUCGUUGACGGUCUGUUUUAUUAAAGAGAAAAUUCAAGCAAAAAUGACUGAUGAUAUGUUAGUAUUUUGGACUCAAAGUCAUUGCAUAAGUGAUUGAUUCGAAGCCUUAGAAUUGUUAAUCGAUUUCUAUAUGGUAAAAGAGUAAAUAUAUCUACAGUUCCUACUUGACCCUAGUUCAAGAAAUAAUGUUGCGUUUGUAUCGUCGAAUGCUAAUAAAGAUUUUAUCAUUUGAGGUUUAUUCCCGUCUACUCAUGUAAUGUCGAUAUAUUUCUGCGGCAAAUUUCUUAUCAUGCUUGUUAAAUAAAAAUAUCUUAAUCGUGUUAAUUGUUAUGGGAAAUGCAAGGAAACGCCCAAUAUGGUGACUUGAUAUGCUAAGAGACAUAAUUUAAAGCUGAAAAAAGCAAGUGAACUAGUCACGAAAAACCCUAAAUUGAUAUAUUUAAAUUUAUCCUAAAUUAAUGUUUUGACAACAAAAGUCUUAAACUUGUAUAUAUGUGACAAAUUCACUUUAUGCUAGUUUGUAUUUAAUUUUACAAUCAAAUUGUUUAGUUGGAUGAUAUGUGGUAGUUGACAGGUAUACCAAUUUUACGUUUUACCCUCCGUUUGUCACACUUUGUACCGAUUUGAGAUUUUUUGCGGUUAAAAUAUUAGUUUAGGGUAAAUUAUCAUAAGUAUACUAGUUUGGGGGGUUUUGUGGUAAAAAAAUUAGUUUGAGAUAAAUUUGUCACAAGUGUAUUAGUUUGAGGUUUAUUAUGGUAAAAAAAUUAAUUUAUAAUAAAUUUGUCAUAGAUAUACUGAUUUAAGAUUUUUUGUGAUAUUAACCCAAAACAUGUUUGAUUGUAGAUUUGUUUAAAAAAAAUAAAAAUCAAUGGUGCAUCUAGACAUAUAUAUAUUUAAAAUCAUGUAAAUAAAUGCCAAAGUUAUCUUUGGAAAGAAUAACUAACUUUCUAGAACUUAUCUUUUAUAUAUUGGAAAACAAACCAGUUUCUAGCUCAAUUUUUGUGUUUUUUUUUUUCAAGGAUGUCAUGUUGUGCUCUUGUGACUAGGAAAAUCGUCACACACGUAAAAUAAAAUGUAAAUUAUGGGCAUAGAUGCGUAAAUCCAUGUUAUUUUUCCCGGUUAAACCUUGUACAACCAAAGUACUUGUUGUAUACUAGUUUACAUAUUGAGUAUAAUAUAUGUCUAAAAUAAAUAUCACCUAAACUACGUAUAUUGCGCGAAUAAGUUAGAAAAAAUAAAUACUUUUCAGCUAGUAUGUGAAGGCAACCAUUAUAAUGCAAAAGAUUAGAGAUGAAGUGUACCUAAAAAGUAAAAUGCUAAAAGAUCGAGUAAUGCAUGCGUGAUGCAAGAAGCUAGGGUUAUUAUAGUCUUCAAAAUGAUAUUGGUUACCACUCGAAGGCGAGACUUGAUCUCUUUAAUCUGAUCCAACGAGAACGUGAUCGUCGACACUGAAAAUGGCUGGAGGCUCUCCGAACCGGACCGAAUUGGCGACAAAUCAUCCUUGACACAAGUGCUUUUCAACAAGCUCCAACCGAAAUCUCUUACGGUGUUGACAAGCGGGGAAAAACAUCUGCUAACCACCUUCCGAAGUCCGAUGUUUCUGUCAUCUUUAUUGGCUGAGCUGAACUUUUUGACUGAGGGAAAAGUUACUGGAAGAGAAGGAUCGUCAGCUCUUUGAAGGCAAGACAAGAGAGCAGCCACAAGAGAAUAGCCAUCACCAAGCGCAUGGUGAAGCUUGAAAAUUAGGGUUUCCUGUGCUUCACUGGUUGGACACUUGAUAAUAUGUAUUUCCCACAGCGGUUGGCCUUGUGGAAAUGGUUGCAUAGCUAUUUGUGAAAUGUAACUUUUGAGGAAACUGUCAUUCUCGGAUGGAGAGGACGAGCCCUUUGGAGAGGAAAAACUCGGGACGUGUACAUGGUUUUCCAUAUUCACUCCCACCUUCUUCCAUUUUCUUGCUCCCUUGUCUCCCGUCACCUACCCAAGGCGAAAAACGAAAACAAAAAUACUAUCUAAGAAUGUGCAGUGAAUAAGGGUUUAUUCAUUCAGAUACGUGACCAAGCACACUUUCACCUGAUAAAUACCAAUUACUUAUAUAUCAAUCCUACCAAUGGUGAAUAUCUAUGCACAGGGUACACACAUACGUACCAUGAUAGAAGAGAAGCGAGGGUUUAUUGGGAGGAAGUCAUCUCUGAACAACGACAUAGCUUGGGAGUCAUCAAUUGGAAUUUCUAAUUCCAAGAUGCCAAGAAUAGAAACCGACAUCACUUUGCUGUUAAGGUACUGUCCUGAAGGGCUCACUGGCUCAAGGCCAUCAUCCUCUUUUAUCAACUCCAUUGGACAGGACUUGCAAUAAUCCCAACCAAAGCGUAACAGGUUGAGAAUCUAUAGAGAAG
rnacentral:lncRNA from 1 species